CAAGUCGAGGGGCAGCACGGGUAGCAAUACCUGGUGGCGACCGGCAAACGGGUGCGGAACACGUACGCAACCUUCCUUUAAGCGGGGAAUAGCCCAGGGAAACUUGGAUUAAUACCCCAUAAGAUUAUGGUGUGGCAUCACACAGUAAUUAAAGCUCCGGCACUUAAAGAUGGGCGUGCGGCUGAUUAGGUAGUUGGCGGGGUAACGGCCCACCAAGCCUACGAUCAGUAACUGGUGUGAGAGCACGACCAGUCACACGGGCACUGAGACACGGGCCCGACUCCUACGGGAGGCAGCAGUAAGGAAUAUUGGUCAAUGGACGCAAGUCUGAACCAGCCAUGCCGCGUGGAGGAUGAAGGCCCUCUGGGUUGUAAACUUCUUUUAUUUGGGAAGAAACCCAUCUUUUCUAAGGUGGUUGACGGUACCAGAUGAAUAAGCACCGGCUAACUCCGUGCCAGCAGCCGCGGUAAUACGGAGGGUGCAAGCGUUAUCCGGAUUCACUGGGUUUAAAGGGUGCGUAGGUGGGCAGGUAAGUCAGUGGUGAAAUCUCCGGGCUUAACCCGGAAACUGCCGUUGAUACUAUCUGUCUUGAAUAUAGUGGAGGUGAGCGGAAUAUGUCAUGUAGCGGUGAAAUGCUUAGAUAUGACAUAGAACACCCAUUGCGAAGGCAGCUCGCUACACUAUCAUUGACACUGAGGCACGAAAGCGUGGGGAUCAAACAGGAUUAGAUACCCUGGUAGUCCACGCCCUAAACGAUGGAUACUCGACAUCAGCGAUACACAGUUGGUGUCUGAGCGAAAGCAUUAAGUAUCCCACCUGGGAAGUACGACCGCAAGGUU
rnacentral:rRNA from 1 species